rnacentral:tRNA from 1 species
UCCCUGGUGGCUCAGAAGGUAAAGCGUCUGCCUACAAUGCGGGAGACCCGGGUUCAAUCCCUGGGUUGGGAA